GAUGAAGAACGUAGCGAAAUGCGAUAAGUAAUGUGAAUUGCAGAAUUCAGUGAAUCAUCGAGUCUUUGAACGCACAUUGCGCCCCCUGGUAUUCCGGGGGGCAUGCCUGUCCGAGCGUCAUUGCUGCCCUCAAGCACGGCUUGUGUGUUGGGCCGUCGUCCCCCUCCUAGGGGACGGGCCCGAAAGGCAGCGGCGGCACCGCGUCCGGUCCUCGAGCGUAUGGGGCUUCGUCACCCGCUCCGUAGGCCCGGCCGGCGCUUGCCGACGACCAUCAAUCUCUUUCUCCAGGUUGACCUCGGAUCAGGUAGGGAUACCCGCAGAACUUAAGCAUAUCAAUAAGCGGAGGA
rnacentral:misc_RNA from 1 species